rnacentral:rRNA from 1 species
AAGCGGUUCUUUAGACUUUUGUGUCACUUAGGCGGGAAAACAAGGGGAGCAACAACAUUAAAUUCCCUGGUAGUACACCCGUAAACAAGAGAAAUAGGUGUUGGGGGGGUUCCCCCUCGGUUCCGCAGCUAACUCAUUAAGUACUUCGCCUGGGAAGUACGCUCGCAAGAAUGAAUUCAAAUGAAUUGACGGGGGUCCGCCCCACUACCGGAACAUGUGGUUUAAUUUGAAACAACGCCAAGAACCUUACCUUUGCUUGACAUCACACUGGCCUCUCCAUAAUCAGAGAAUUCCCUUCCGGGACAGUGGACGCAGGUGGUCCAUGGUUGUCGUCCACUCGUGUCCUUAGAUGUUGGGGUAAGUACCCCAACGAGCGCAACCCUUCCCCUUAGUUUCCACCAUUAAGUUGGGCCCUCUAGAGGGACUUCCGAGGAUAACUCGGAGGAAGGUGGGGAUGACGUCAAAUCAUCAUGUCCCUUAUGCUUAGGGCUCCACACGUGUUUCAAUGGGUGGUACAGAGGGUUGCCAAGUCGCGCGGUGGAGCUAAUCCCUUAAAAUCAUUCUCAGUUCGGAUUGUAGGCUGAAACUCGCCUACAUGAAGCUCGAGUUACUAGUAAUCGCAGAUCAGAAUUCUGCGGUGAAUGCGUUUCCGGGUCUUGUACCCCCCCCCCAUCACACCAUGGAAGUUGGGGGCUCCCGAAACCGGUUAGAUAACCUUCAGGUAGCGUCAAAUGGUUGAAGGCA